rnacentral:misc_RNA from 2 species
AUGAUUGUGAAUAGUUACCUUUGGUGCUGGCUCCUUGCAGAGCAAGUGCACGUUGGUGGCUUUCAUCCAAUACCCAUGUGAACCUUUGGCCUCUGCUGGCUUCGGCUAGUGGAGGAAUUUUAUACACAUACUCGAAUGUAAUGAAAACUAUUGUCGUGCGCAAGCACUAAUGUA